rnacentral:rRNA from 1 species
AGUGAACGCUGGCGGUAGGCCUAACACAUGCAAGUCGAACGGCAGCACAGUAAGAGCUUGCGCUUACGGGUGGCGAGUGGCGGACGGGUGAGGAAUACAUCGGAAUCUACUUUUUCGUGGGGGAUAACGUAGGGAAACUUACGCUAAUACCGCAUACGACCUACGGGUGAAAGCAUGGGAUCUUCGGACCUUGCGCGAUUGAAUGAGCCGAUGUCGGAUUAGCUAGUUGGCGGGGUAAAGGCCCACCAAGGCGACGAUCCGUAGCUGGUCUGAGAGGAUGAUCAGCCACACUGGAACUGAGACACGGUCCAGACUCCUACGGGAGGCAGCAGUGGGGAAUAUUGGACAAUGGGCGCAAGCCUGAUCCAGCCAUACCGCGUGUGUGAAGAAGGCCUUCGGGUUGUAAAGCCCUUUUGUUGGGAAAGAAAAGCAGCAGGUUAAUACCCCGCUGUUCUGACGGUACCCAAAGAAUAAGCACCGGCUAACUUCGUG